rnacentral:rRNA from 1 species
GACGAGUGGCGGACGGGUGAGUAACGCGUAGGAAUCUACCUUGUAGUGGGGAAUAACUUGGGGAAACUCAAGCUAAUACCGCAUAAGCCCGAAAGGGGAAAGCGGGGGACUGUAACAGGCCUCGCGCUAUGAGAUGAGCCUGCGUCGGAUUAGCUAGUUGGUGGGGUAAAGGCCUACCAAGGCGAGGAUCCGUAGCUGGUCUGAGAGGACGGCCAGCCACACUGGGACUGAGACACGGCCCAGACUCCUACGGGAGGCAGCAGUGGGGAAUAUUGGAUAAUGGGGGCAACCCUGAUCCAGCAAUGCCGCGUGUGUGAAGAAGGCCUGCGGGUUGUAAAGAACUUUCGGCGGGGAGGAAGGGUUUUUGAGAGAAUAUCUUAAGAACUUUGACGUUACCCGCAUAAGAAGCACCGGCUAACUCUGUGCCAGCAGCCGCGGUAAUACAGAGGGUGCGAGCGUUAAUCGGAAUUACUGGGCGUAAAGGGCGCGUAGGUGGUUAAUUAAGUCAGAUGUGAAAUCCCCGGGCUUAACCUGGGAAUGGC